rnacentral:rRNA from 1 species
UACGUAGGGUGCGAGCGUUAAUUGGAAUUACUGGGCGUAAAGCGUGCGCAGGCGGUUUUGUAAGACAGCUGUGAAAUCCCCGGGCUCAACCUGGGAACUGCGGUUGUGACUGCAAGACUGGAGUACGGCAGAGGGGGGUGGAAUUCCACGUGUAGCAGUGAAAUGCGUAGAGAUGUGGAGGAACACCGAUGGCGAAGGCAGCCCCCUGGGCUAGUACUGACGCUCAUGCACGAAAGCGUGGGGAGCAAACAGG